rnacentral:tRNA from 1 species
AAAGUGGCAGAGUGGUCAUGCGGUUGGCUUGAAACCAAUAUAUGGGGGUUCAACUCCUCCCUUUCUCG